ensembl:lncRNA uncharacterized LOC113890257
AGAGGGUGGAGGGGAGCAGAGUCCGCCCUGCUCCCCCCGUCCUCCCGCCCCCACCAUUGCCGCAGGCUUCCCUUAGGGCAAACGUCCAUCAGAGCAGGACCUUCCGCCUCCCUCUGCCCGCUCCCCACCCCGCCCUAGCAUUGGCAGGGUUUCAGAUACCCUGGGCGGUGGGGGUCGGGGAGCGGGGAGAGGGGGAAGCCUGGCCGCCAGGAAGGGUGGGGCUGCCAGGCAGGCACCGCCCAGCUGCAGUGUGACCCCGCCAGUCCCGGAAACUCUCCAAACCCAGGACCUCAACGGACGUCCGGCAACUCAGAGGGGAGGCAGCAGGGCCUGCCAGGACGGAGGGUGUGUGGGACGCCUCUGAGGUCCCGUUGAGAAAGGAAGAGCUGUGUUUUAUCCUACUCUAGAGUCAGAAGGCUGUGUGAUGUCCUCCCAGUGUUAACAGAAGUAGCUGGGUGGCCUUCAGAAAUGCUUUUCAUCCCCAGAUGCUGGCAUUGGGCUGUGCACAUAUCCUGGAUUUAUUAAUUUUUAAAAAGUUGCCACUUGUUGAAGAGUGUUUAUCAUGUGCUGGGCACUUGCUCAGUUUGUUCCCUACAUGGAUCCUUCACCAGCUCAGGGAGACACAAUGACAUUAUCAUUGUGCCCUUUUCAUAGAUGAGGAAACUGAAGCUCAAGGGCAAGGGUUACUUGCUCAAGGUCACAGAAAUACUAACUACUGGAGUCUGGAUUCAAAACCAGGUAGGUCUGGCUGAUUUCAGACCGCAGCUUCUUAAUUUUCCUAGAAGGCAGGAACCGAAGUUCAUUCACCCUUGCGGAACACCUAGACCUGACAGGUACCCAAUAAAGAAGCAUUGAAUAGAGCUUGACACAUUUUCGGGGGUCUGAUUCUCUCCAUUAUAGUCUGAUGAAAUGACAGACUGGGCAAAAGUACGUAUCUCAGCGACAAGCAUACAGUUGGUCCACAUACAUCUAAAGAUGUCGGGAGUCUGGAAGUGGGGAGGAAAGACACCUGCUUUCUUUGCUGAUGCCGCUGAGGGAGCCCUUCUGUCUGCCUGGAUGGAGGUAGCCUGGAGGCUUCUGGACCUAGAAGCUUGGCUUGCACAGAACUCUGAGAGGCUGGGUCUCGCUGUCUGGCCCAGGAAUCCCCUUUAUAGCUCUCCAGGCCGGACCCCUGGAUCCCUGGGAAUGCUGUCUGACAGCUGUGUGAGUGCAACCGUGGCUCCUGAACCGGGUGCCAGCUGGGCGUGCUCUGGGAGCCACCGCUUGGGAUGUCAGAGGAGAGCUGCUGCAGCCGCCCUUCCGUCAGCAGGAAGCCCAGCCGCAUACACUUGGACAGGAAGCCCCGGUGCUGGCCAGCUGAGCAAGCUCUGGUUUCUCCUGAGUCUGAGGCUUUGGCCCAGCAUGGAGGGAGGCGAGCCAGGUGCUGUGGCUGGGCGGCACUGA